rnacentral:rRNA from 1 species
GUGGAUUAGAUACCCUAGUAGUCCACGCGGUAAACGAUGCCAGCUCGGUGUCUGGGGCCGUUUUGGCCCUGGGUGCCUCAGCUCACGCGGUAAGCUGGCCGCCUGGGGACUACGAGCGCAAGCUUAAAACUCAAAGGAAUUGACGGGGGCCCGCACAAGCAGCGGAGCGUGUGGUUUAAUUCGACGCAACGCGAAGAACCUUACCCAGGCUUGACAUGUAUCUGCAAGCCGGUGAAAGCCGGUCGCCUUCGAGGGUGAUACACAGGUGCUGCACGGUUGUCGACAGCU